ACUCCAGUGGCCUAAUGGAUAUGGUAUUAGCUUCCAAAGCCAGAGAUUGUGGGUUCAAGUCCCAUCUGGGGUC
rnacentral:tRNA from 1 species